GAGGGUAUAGCUCAGCGGUAGGGUGCAUGCUUAGCAUGCACAAGAUCCUGGGUUCAAUCCUCAGUACCUCCA
rnacentral:tRNA from 1 species